rnacentral:lncRNA from 10 species
CUCACUCUGGUUGCCCAGGCUGGAGUGCAGUGGUGCAAUCAUGGCUCACUACAGUCUCAACCUCCCAGGCUUGAGUGAUCAUCCCACCUCAGCCUCCCAAGUGGCUGGGACCACAGGUGCACACCACGGCGUGGCACCCAGCUAAUUCUGUUUUAUUUUUUGAAGAGACAAAGUCUUACUAUGUUGCCCAGGAUGGUCUUGAACUCCUACGCUCAAGCAAUCCUCCCACCUUGGCUUCCCAAAGUGCUGGGAUUAAAGGCAUGAGCCUCCGCACCCGACCUAUUUUCGUUAUGAAUUACCCAGUCUGAGGUAUUCAGUGAUAGCAACAGAAAAUGUACUAAGGCAUAGACACAGAGGAAAGACAGCCACGUGAGGACAGAGGCAGAGGCUGGAGAGAUGCACAUGCAAGCCAAGGAACACCCAGGAUGGCCAGUGACCCCCAGCAGCUGGGAGAGAAGCAAAGAAAGAGUCUGCCCACAGCCCCCAGAGGGAGUGUGGCCCUGCGCACAUCUUCAUUUCCAACUUCUGGCCUCCAGAGCCGUGGGAGAAUACAUUUCUGUUGUUUGAAGCUAUCCAGUUUGUGGAACUUUGUUACAGCAGCCCUGGGGAAUGAAUACAUGGUCUUAGAGGGGAGACUUUUGGUAUUCAGAAAAAG